rnacentral:rRNA from 1 species
CAUCUACUACAUUCAAAGAUAAGCCAUGCAUGUCUAAGACUAAACAAGUUACUACUGAAUCUGCGUAAGGCUCAUUACAAAGAUUUUCACCUACCCUCGAACCAUUGACAACUGGAUAACCGUUGUAAUUCAAGGGCUAAUCAUGAAUCCAAAGGGGCUUUUAUGAGUCUCUGCAUGUGCUAGCUCUUAACCAACAUUAUUUGGUGAUUCAUGACAAACUGCGAAUCCUUACGCUCUUUGUAUGAAGGAUGACGAGGUCGGGUCUUUUCCUCAUCAGGUUUCGUAUCGAGUGUAUUGUACUCGAUAGCCUCUUACGAGUGACGGGGAAUAGUGGUUUGACUCCGGAGAAGUGAGCCUGAGAGACGGCUACUACAUCCUAAGGAAGGCAGCAGGCGCGCAAAUUUCCCAAUGCUCAAUGAGCGAGGAAGUGACGAAUAAUAACAAAUUUUUUUUCUUAAGAAAAGAGUAUUGGAAUGAGUACAAUUUACAACCCUUAAAGAGGAUCAAUUGGAUGGCGAUCUGGUGCCAGCANCUCCGGUAAUUCCAGCUCCAAUAGUGUAUNUCAAAAUUGUUGCAGUUAAAAAGCUCGUAGUUGAGAUUCANGGGAAGUGUCGAUAUUCUAGGCUUCGACGCAAGUCAUUCUAAUUGGUGAGCUUCCAUCUUUGUGGAAUCCGCGUUGUUCGUUCGUUAGGAGGAUGUGCCACUCAGUAAAUGAGAGCAAAGUGGAGUGCUCAAAUCAGGNUAUACAGCUUCGAACAAUUAAGCUAGGAAUAACAAUAAACGANUUGUUUGUAAUUGUUGGGUGUACAUUAAUAAUUAAUGCUUGAAAGGGAACAGUUGUCGGGGAUAUUCGUAUGAGCAAGUCAGAGGUGAAAUUCAAGGAUUUUGCUUAGACGAACGACUGCGAAAGCAUCUAUCCAACAUGUUUUCAUCAAUCAAGAACGAGUAGUAAAGGGAUCGAAGAUGAUUAGANACCAUCGUAGUCUUUACCAUAAACGAUGCCGACUCGGGAUUCUCAAUGCGUCUAUUUUAGACGGUGGCUGAACCCCAUAAAAAAUCACUAAGUUUAUGGGUUCCGGGGGGAGUACGUGCGCAAGCACGAAACUUAAAGGGAAUUGAACGG